rnacentral:rRNA from 1 species
UUAAGCGACUAAGCGUACACGGUGGAUGCCCUGGCAGUCAGAGGCGAUGAAGGACGUGCUAAUCUGCGAUAAGCGUCGGUAAGGUGAUAUGAACCGUUAUAACCGGCGAUUUCCGAAUGGGGAAACCCAGUGUGAUUCGUCACACUAUCAUUAACUGAAUCCAUAGGUUAAUGAGGCGAACCGGGGGAACUGAAACAUCUAAGUACCCCGAGGAAAAGAAAUCAACCGAGAUUCCCCCAGUAGCGGCGAGCGAACGGGGAGGAGCCCAGAGCCUGAAUCAGUGUGUGUGUUAGUGGAAGCGUCUGGAAAGGCGCGCGAUACAGGGUGACAGCCCCGUACACAAAAAUGCACAUGCUGUGAGCUCGAUGAGUAGGGCGGGACACGUGGUAUCCUGUCUGAAUAUGGGGGGACCAUCCUCCAAGGCUAAAUACUCCUGACUGACCGAUAGUGAACCAGUACCGUGAGGGAAAGGCGAAAAGAACCCCGGCGAGGGGAGUGAAAAAGAACCUGAAACCGUGUACGUACAAGCAGUGGGAGCACGCUUAGGCGUGUGACUGCGUACCUUUUGUAUAAUGGGUCAGCGACUUAUAUUCUGUAGCAAGGUUAACCGAAUAGGGGAGCCGAAGGGAAACCGAGUCUUAACUGGGCGUUAAGUUGCAGGGUAUAGACCCGAAACCCGGUGAUCUAGCCAUGGGCAGGUUGAAGGUUGGGUAACACUAACUGGAGGACCGAACCGACUAAUGUUGAAAAAUUAGCGGAUGACUUGUGGCUGGGGGUGAAAGGCCAAUCAAACCGGGAGAUAGCUGGUUCUCCCCGAAAGCUAUUUAGGUAGCGCCUCGUGAAUUCAUCUCCGGGGGUAGAGCACUGUUUCGGCAAGGGGGUCAUCCCGACUUACCAACCCGAUGCAAACUGCGAAUACCGGAGAAUGUUAUCACGGGAGACACACGGCGGGUGCUAACGUCCGUCGUGAAGAGGGAAACAACCCAGACCGCCAGCUAAGGUCCCAAAGUCAUGGUUAAGUGGGAAACGAUGUGGGAAGGCCCAGACAGCCAGGAUGUUGGCUUAGAAGCAGCCAUCAUUUAAAGAAAGCGUAAUAGCUCACUGGUCGAGUCGGCCUGCGCGGAAGAUGUAACGGGGCUAAACCAUGCACCGAAGCUGCGGCAGCGACACUGUGUGUUGUUGGGUAGGGGAGCGUUCUGUAAGCCUGUGAAGGUGUGCUGUGAGGCAUGCUGGAGGUAUCAGAAGUGCGAAUGCUGACAUAAGUAACGAUAAAGCGGGUGAAAAGCCCGCUCGCCGGAAGACCAAGGGUUCCUGUCCAACGUUAAUCGGGGCAGGGUGAGUCGACCCCUAAGGCGAGGCCGAAAGGCGUAGUCGAUGGGAAACAGGUUAAUAUUCCUGUACUUGGUGUUACUGCGAAGGGGGGACGGAGAAGGCUAUGUUGGCCGGGCGACGGUUGUCCCGGUUUAAGCGUGUAGGCUGGUUUUCCAGGCAAAUCCGGAAAAUCAAGGCUGAGGCGUGAUGACGAGGCACUACGGUGCUGAAGCAACAAAUGCCCUGCUUCCAGGAAAAGCCUCUAAGCAUCAGGUAACAUCAAAUCGUACCCCAAACCGACACAGGUGGUCAGGUAGAGAAUACCAAGGCGCUUGAGAGAACUCGGGUGAAGGAACUAGGCAAAAUGGUGCCGUAACUUCGGGAGAAGGCACGCUGAUAUGUAGGUGAAGUCCCUCGCGGAUGGAGCUGAAAUCAGUCGAAGAUACCAGCUGGCUGCAACUGUUUAUUAAAAACACAGCACUGUGCAAACACGAAAGUGGACGUAUACGGUGUGACGCCUGCCCGGUGCCGGAAGGUUAAUUGAUGGGGUCAGCGCAAGCGAAGCUCUUGAUCGAAGCCCCGGUAAACGGCGGCCGUAACUAUAACGGUCCUAAGGUAGCGAAAUUCCUUGUCGGGUAAGUUCCGACCUGCACGAAUGGCGUAAUGAUGGCCAGGCUGUCUCCACCCGAGACUCAGUGAAAUUGAACUCGCUGUGAAGAUGCAGUGUACCCGCGGCAAGACGGAAAGACCCCGUGAACCUUUACUAUAGCUUGACACUGAACAUUGAGCCUUGAUGUGUAG